GACGAACGCUGGCGGCGUGCCUAAUACAUGCAAGUCGAGCGGAUGACAGAGGAGCUUGCUCCUCCUGAUUCAGCGGCGGACGGGUGAGCAACACGUGGGCAACCUGCCCUGUAGAUUGGGAUAACUCCGGGAAACCGGGGCUAAUACCGAAUAAUCCUUCGGACCUCAUGGUCCGAUGUUGAAAGGCGGCUUCGGCUGUCACUACAGGAUGGGCCCGCGGCGCAUUAGCUAGUUGGUGAGGUAACGGCUCACCAAGGCGACGAUGCGUAGCCGACCUGAGAGGGUGAUCGGCCACACUGGGACUGAGACACGGCCCAGACUCCUACGGGAGGCAGCAGUAGGGAAUCUUCCACAAUGGACGAAAGUCUGAUGGAGCAACGCCGCGUGAGUGAAGAAGGUUCUCGGAUCGUAAAACUCUGUUGUGAGGGAAGAACAAGUACCGGAGUAACUGCCGGUACCUUGACGGUACCUCAUUAGAAAGCCACGGCUAACUACGUGCCAGCCGCCGCUGUAA
rnacentral:rRNA from 1 species